GAUAGUUGGUGUGACAGCUUAAAUAUUCCCAUUUAUUUCUCAUUCAAGUCAGUUUUAGUAGCCCAUGGACAACCUACCUUAGGAGGUCACCAGCUGGUGUACUCCUAUUGCUGGUCUCAAGUCCAGAUAAAUUGGAGGUCUGCAUGAGGGCAUCAAAUGUUAUAACAACUCCGUGCCAAAUAAAAAAGUGUUGAUUCAUACACUAUGGCAAACUUGAGGAAGUAAUGGAGCAGCUGUCUUACUUAGUGUUGGUCGUUUAUAAGGUGGCAGGUUCUCUGAAGAAGAUUUGGAGUGCUGACGUUUAUAGUUAUUCAUCAGGAGGGUUUCUGGGAUGUUUGUGUUUAGUAAAGUAAAAUAUUUUUGCAUCAUAGAAAAAGAACCUAAAGUGAAAUUACCCACAAAUCAUUCUAUCAAUGGGAGUCCUUACCUGUUAAAGGUAUUGUAAUUUGUUUUUAGAGUUAUUCAGUCUGACAUGUCAGAUAAAAUAAAUUUCAGCUUUGUUCAAACAGACUUUGCCAAUGAGAUGUUAGUUUUCAAUAAUAUCUAUAACAUAUUUCUGAGAGAUGAGAUCUGCUUUUGAUAUCAGAGAGUCAGGUUUCAUCAGGAGGGUUUCUGGGAUGUUUGUGUUUAGUAAAGUAAAAUAUUUUACUUACAGCUGUUACACAUCAUGACUUGAGUUGCUUUGAAGCCCUUUGAUGUUCAAACGUCUUACAGGGUCCAGACUAAUUUUUCUAUGUUGUGCCAGAUGGCUGUAUGGUACAACCAACAGUCCUUGGACACCUCAUGUUCAGAGCAGUAUUUUGUGCACAGAAGCUCUGUUCCUAGCUAAGUUCAAUGUCAAACUCAUGGUGGGAAAAACAACACCUGGAUGGUGGAACAGGUGAACUAACUGGUGUGCAUUCGAAUUCAGAUGGUGUUAAUAAGUGUUACUUUAACCCAGCAAUAGCGGUUCCCAUAUACAAUCUGUGGGAGGGUUUAUUUGAACUCUCAGACUUUUUUUUUUAUUUUUUCUUUAUUUUGCUGUGUGUUGUUUCUAGUUUUCCAACUAAUCUUAAUUCUGUGCUCUCAGAAUGUGCAAGUCUGGUUUUUAAAUUUUUCUAUUUCAGUCAGGGUAAAACAAUCAUUCUAAUAAUCACUGAUCAAAAAGUAUUAACCAAAGAAUUUCUUUUGGAUUUUAUCUAAAAGGCUGUAAUUGGGUUUUCACUUAUGAUCACUUAGGCUUUGAAUGUUUAAAGGGAGAAAAGUUUUAUAGCAACAUAAGAUGGAUUUUGAGUUGCCAUGUAAAUCUACUCCAGUGGAGUCAGAGAAUUAAAAAUAUGAAUUUUGAAAUCAGCAUUUAAUCUCAUUUAUGUCAUUUAUGUGCAUGUUUGCAUAGCAGACACAUAAUUCUGUGGCUUAAGAGACUUUAGAUGUUGAUCCAUCAAGCAGAACCUCCAGGGAAGCAUCUGAUCCUAAAUCCCGCUGCAGCACAACAGAAAGCCCAAACAUACUGCCCGACUCAGCAACAAGAGGAGAAGGAGCUUUAGCAGAUGGUGGAUCCCACUGAGCUCUGAUCUUCGCAUAUUCAGUCUGGAGUUACAUGAAAAGACAGAAGAUACUGAGACAAACUAAAUCCAAGGAGGGGCUUUCAAGCUCCUUUGGGAAGCUUUCUAGUAGCAUGAAAAACUGUGCAAGUGUGGCGUUUAAAGGAACUAAUAUCACCACUGGGUGACAGUGUUUCACCAGAAGGUGUUUGUGUAGCUGUAGAAGAAACAAGGAAAUCCUGUAUUAGAUCAGGGCCGUGCAGUGGUUUGCAUGGUCACCUUACUGCAACAAGGUUGUGGGUUCAGACUUCCUGGUCAAUGAGUCCCUUUUAUGUAGUUUGCAUGUUCUACCACAGUUCAAACACAUACUUUUUUUUUAAUCUUAACUGUAGAUUCUAGAUCAGCCAUAGGUGUGGACAUGAGAGUAAGGAGUUCUCUCUUUUGGCUGGACCUGAUAGACUGGCAAC
ensembl:lncRNA